rnacentral:rRNA from 1 species
UACGGAGGAUCCGAGCGUUAUCCGGAUUUAUUGGGUUUAAAGGGUGCGUAGGCGGGAGAUUAAGUCGGUGGUGAAAUUUUGCAGCUCAACUGUAAAAGUGCCAUUGAUACUGGUUUCCUUGAGUGUGGAUGAAGUAGGCGGAAUUUGUGGUGUAGCGGUGAAAUGCAUAGAUAUCACGAGGAACUCCGAUUGCGCAGGCAGCUUACUAAACCAUAACUGACGCUCAGGCACGAAGGCGUGGGGAUCAAACAGGAUUAGAUACCCCGGUA